rnacentral:rRNA from 1 species
UGGGGAAUAUUGGACAAUGGGCGCAAGCCUGCUCCAGCCAUGCCGCGUGAGUGAUGAAGGCCCUAGGGUCGUAAAGCUCUUUCACCGGUGAAGAUAAUGCCGGUAACCGGAGAAGAAGCCCCGGCUAACUUCGUGCCAGCAGCCGCGGUAAUACGAAGGGGGCUAGCGUUGUUCGGAUUUACUGGGCGGAAAGCGCACGUAGGCGGACUAUUAAGUCAGGGGUGAAAUCCCGGGGCUCAACCCCGGAACUGCCUUUGAUACUGGUAGUCUUGAGUUCGAGAGAGGUGAGUGGAAUGCGGAGUGGAGAGGUGAAAUUCGGAGAUAUUCGGAGGAACACCAGUGGCGAAGGCGACUCAGUGGCUCGAUACUGACGCUGAGGUGCGAAAGCGUGGGGAGCAAACAGG